UGGGGAUUCCCUGUGUGAUUUAAUAGACAAAAUAUAACUCCUCCCAAGAGAACAUUUCUGCCCCCACCAGCCCAGCAGGGCAUCUAAGUACAAGUCCAGCACUGUCACAUAUGGUAGCGCUAAUGCAAGCGGUGACAAUUUAUUCUAAACCCCCCCCAGUAAUCAAGAUGGACAUCCAUGGGUCCCCACCAAAAGCAAGCUGCCUGGGAAGGUCCUUGGAGGAGUGAAAGGGUGGCAUAUGUUUAGGGGCCACAUCUGGUAGGUGGAGGUCACUUGCAGUAGGUGGGUUUAUUUAUGGUGCCAGUAAGUAAUAUAUAUUUUUUUUUUAAUUUUUUUUUUUGGAAGUGCAUGUAGGAAACCUUAGUUGCAGCCAGUGGACUGGAAAAGCCAGUGAUGAAUGGUUCCCCAGCAAGCAAAACCCCACCAUGUAGUUUGGGGAGAGCCACCAGCACCAACCCAAGCAAGAGGGAGACCUGAAGAGAGGCAACAGUAUUCCUCCUUCCAAGUUUGGGUCAGAGGUCUAAAUGGGGACUGGAAGCCAGCAACUGAAACUAACAAGAACUCCUGCUCUCAGCUACAGGCUUCUGGUUACAGUUUCCACGGGAACAGAUGUUGGAUCAGCACAAAAAGAAGAGCUCAAAAGAGACUGCUCUUCAGACUUCACCUCUACCUUGAUUUUGAUAUUCCAACCUCACACUCACAGAGAGACAGAGCCAGCUGCCUUCAGUGCCCAGCAAGCUCUGAGCCAAGUAAAGGUUAUUUGUAAUAAUACAA